CUUGCUCUUCUGUUUUCUCAGACCGGAAUCGACCAAUUCACUGCAGACCGGAUCCUUUGAAUCGCGCGCCACCGGUUAUCUGAGAACGAGUGUGCUGCCACAACUGGAAAGGCCACGGCAUAUCGUUCGGCGGGGGUGUGUCCCUACAUUCGGUGGCAGCGGCGGAACGCGCUGGACGCAACGCUCUUACCUUGCUCUUCUGUUUUCUCAGACCGGAAUCGACCAAUUCACUGCAGACCGGAUCCUUUGAAUCGCGCGCCACCGGUUAUCUGAGAACGAGUGUGCUGCCACAACUGGAAAGGCCACGGCAUAUCGUUCGGCGGGGGUGUGUCCCUACAUUCGGUGGCAGCGGCGGAACGCGCUGGACGCAACGCUCUUACCUUGCUCUUCUGUUUUCUCAGACCGGAAUCGACCAAUUCACUGCAGACCGGAUCCUUUGAAUCGCGCGCCACCGGUUAUCUGAGAACGAGUGUGCUGCCACAACUGGAAAGGCCACGGCAUAUCGUUCGGCGGGGGUGUGUCCCUACAUUCGGUGGCAGCGGCGGAACGCGCUGGACGCAACGCUCUUACCUUGCUCUUCUGUUUUCUCAGAUAAGGCGGACUCACUCUGGAAGCAGUUCUCGCGCGGGCUCUGUCCAUUGAGGACUGGCACAAGGAUCGCGCUGAUGUUGCCGAUGCUGCAGGGCGAGAAGCGGUCGUUGUUCGGCCUGUCCCCCUUGGUCGCCGACUCGUACAUCAGGAACUUGCCCGCGGCUCCCACGGGUUCGCAGAUACUCCCUUUGUCGUGCUGCGAAGGGAAAAGAGGUUGGCAACGGUGGCAGAGGCAACUUCGCCAUGCCCAACUUCCUCAAUGGCAACGCGUGAAGGAAACAAAAGUUUCACAACCACCUCCACCGGGAUGCCCAUGCCACUCAGCUGAGGCCAUCCGGUGGAGCUUCGUACUGGAACUGCUGCUACCUACCUGGCGCCACAACGUUGGAUGAACACACAAAAAGCCCGGAACGGUCACUUAUAUAAAUCGAAAUAAACAUUUCCUCAUUUACAA